rnacentral:rRNA from 1 species
CCUACGGGAGGCAGCAGUGGGGAAUUUUGGACAAUGGGCGAAAGCCUGAUCCAGCCAUGCCGCGUGCAGGAUGAAGGCCUUCGGGUUGUAAACUGCUUUUGUACGGAACGAAAAGGUCUUUUCUAAUAAAGAAGGCUCAUGACGGUACCGUAAGAAUAAGCACCGGCUAACUACGUGCCAGCAGCCGCGGUAAUACGUAGGGUGCGAGCGUUAAUCGGAAUUACUGGGCGUAAAGCGUGCGCAGGCGGUUAUAUAAGACAGUUGUGAAAUCCCCGGGCUCAACCUGGGAACUGCAUCUGUGACUGUAUAGCUAGAGUACGGUAGAGGGGGAUGGAAUUCCGCGUGUAGCAGUGAAAUGCGUAGAUAUGCGGAGGAACACCGAUGGCGAAGGCAAUCCCCUGGACCUGUACUGACGCUCAUGCACGAAAGCGUGGGGAGCAAACAGGAUUAGAUACCCUGGUAGUCCACGCCCUAAACGAUGUCAACUGGUUGUUGGGUCUUCACUGACUCAGUAACGAAGCUAACGCGUGAAGUUGACCGCCUGGGGAGUACGGCCGUAAGGUUGAAACUUAAGGAAUUGACGG